rnacentral:rRNA from 1 species
GACGAACGCUGGCGGCGUGCUUAACACAUGCAAGUCGAACGGAAAGGCCCUGCUUUUGUGGGGUGCUCGAGUGGCGAACGGGUGAGUAACACGUGAGUAACCUGCCCUUGACUUUGGGAUAACUUCAGGAAACUGGGGCUAAUACCGGAUAGGAGCUCCUGCUGCAUGGUGGGGGUUGGAAAGUUUCGGCGGUUGGGGAUGGACUCGCGGCUUAUCAGCUUGUUGGUGGGGUAGUGGCUUACCAAGGCUUUGACGGGUAGCCGGCCUGAGAGGGUGACCGGCAACAUUGGGACUGGGAUACGGCCCAGACUCUACGGGAGGCAGCAGUGGGGAAUAUUGCACAAUGGGCGGAAGCCUGAUGCAGCAACGCCGCGUGCGGGAUGACGGCCUUCGGGUUGUAAACCGCUUUCGCCUGUGACGAAGCGUGAGUGACGGUAAUGGGUAAAGAAGCACCGGCUAACUACGUG